GCGAGUGUGUGAGUGCGUGCGUGUGUGUGUGUGUGUGUGUGUGUGGUGUGUGGUGUGGACGAGGAGGGGGUGAGCGGCGGCGGCGGAGGAGGGGAAAGCAGGCCGACCGCGAGGCAAGUGGGCGAUUUUGCGAAGGGCGGCCGAGCGGGCCCGGGGAGCCGCGGUGGGCUGCGGAGAAAGGAGAGGCGGCUGCCGGCAUCCCGACCCCCUCCCCCUCCGCUCCUUCCCCGCCUGCCAGCCGGCCCCGCGGGCCCGCGCUCCUUUUUUCCCUGCCUCCCCGAGGCCCCAGCCGGGCUCAGCCGGCCGAGAGCGAGGGAGGAGCCGCCCGCCCGAGCCAGUUUACAUUCAAGAGAAAACAGUCAAGGCAGGGGGAACAGAUAGAGCAACAUGUGUAGCUCCGUGGCCGCCAAGCUGUGGUUUUUGACAGAUCGCCGCAUCAGGGAAGAUUAUCCCCAAAAGGAGAUUCUCCGAGCACUGAAGGCUAAAUGCUGUGAGGAGGAGCUGGACUUCAGGGCUGUGGUGAUGGAUGAGCUGGUGCUGACAAUCGAACAAGGAAAUCUGGGUCUGCGGAUCAGUGGAGAACUAAUCUCUGCCUACCCACAGGUGGUGGUAGUGAGAGUACCAACCCCUUGGGUGCAAAGCGAUAGCGACAUCACUGUCUUGCGCCAUCUAGAGAAGAUGGGGUGCCGACUCGUGAACCGACCUCAAGCCAUCCUAAACUGUGUGAAUAAAUUCUGGACAUUUCAGGAGUUGGCUGGCCAUGGGGUUCCACUGCCAGAUACGUUCUCUUACGGUGGUCAUGAAAAUUUUGCUAAGAUGAUUGACGAUGCAGAGGUACUGGAGUUUCCAAUGGUGGUGAAGAAUACACGGGGUCAUAGAGGCAAAGCAGUAUUCUUGGCCCGAGAUAAACAUCAUCUGGCUGAUCUGAGCCAUCUUAUUCGCCAUGAAGCUCCAUACCUGUUCCAGAAGUAUGUUAAAGAAUCUCAUGGGCGAGAUGUCCGUGUCAUUGUUGUGGGAGGCCGUGUAGUUGGCACCAUGUUACGUUGUUCAACAGAUGGGAGAAUGCAAAGCAACUGUUCACUAGGCGGCGUGGGGGUGAUGUGCUCACUGAGUGAACAAGGGAAACAGCUAGCCAUCCAGGUGUCUAACAUCCUGGGGAUGGAUGUGUGUGGCAUUGACCUGUUGAUGAAGGAUGACGGCUCCUUCUGUGUCUGCGAGGCCAAUGCAAAUUGCAUUUAUAGUACGUUAAGCCUAUCUUUAUCAGCCUAUUUCUGGAUUGUACACUCACAUGUUAGAAUGAAAAGGGCAGGAAUGAUCAUCCUACACUUUCAAUUUGAAAUAUGGAUACCUUCUUGAAUUUCCUCAGAAAUUAAGCCUUUUCAGGAGCCAAAAAACCAAAAUACAAACAAACAAAAAAAUGCCCAGAGAAAAAGCUUUCCUUCUUCCCCCUUCCUGAUGAUGAGUGAGAAGUAUUGAGAACUUUCGGGGUCAGUGCCCUUCUAAACCCCCCUUCCCCCAAUAACGCAGCUGUAGAACGUGUGGUAAAUGCAGCGGUUCGGAUUCAGGCACAGCCCCAGCCUGCUUGCAGCUUUUUCAGGGGUUGGUGUUCCGAAUACACAGUGAGCUCACAGUAUAAAGACAUCAAUUAGGAGUUGACAGCAGAGAAAUAAACGGGUAGGGGGCAGCAGAGAAAAGAAUUCUUCACCAUGAUGCCUGCUGACAGUCUGCGCAGGAGGAGACCGCGUGACACACCGAGUGAAGGAGGGGGGAAGACAAUGGAAGCCAGACUCAGGGUUCGGGAUGUUCUACCCUCUGCGGGAAGUGACCUAUAAUCCUUUGGCUUGCUUCAUUAACUGGAUGGAUGAAGAUUUGAUUUCUUCCAGUGGUGAAUAGAAAUGAACAGUGCAAGAAAGCUAUAAACUGUUUGCUUCUAUUUGUUUUCUAAAAUAAAAACACCAUGAAGUGGAGAUGAA